UAGGGAAUCUUCCGCAAUGGGCGAAAGCCUGACGGAGCAACGCUGCGUGAGUGAUGAAGGCCUUCGGAUCGUAAAACUCUGUUAUUAGGGAAGAACAAAUGUGUAAGUAACUAUGCACGUCUUGACGGUACCUAAUCAGAAAGCCACGGCUAACUACGUGCCAGCAGCCGCGGUAAUACGCAGGUGGCAAGCGCUAUCCGGAAUUAUUGGGCGUAAAGCGCGCGUAGGCGGUUUUUUAAGUCUGAUGUGAAAGCCCACGGCUCAACCGUCGAGGGUCAUUGGAAACUGGAAAACUUGAGUGCAGAAGAGGAAAGUGGAAUUCCAUGUGUAGCGGUGAAAUGCACAGAGAUAUGGAGGAACACCAGUGGCGAAGGCGACUUUCUGGUCUGUAACUGACGCUGAUGUGCGAAAGCGUGGGGAUCAAACAGG
rnacentral:rRNA from 1 species